UAAGACUUGCGAAACACUAUAACGCAUACCCUGAUUGCAACUCAAGUGCUUUAACUUAAGCUAAAGCCUC
rnacentral:tRNA from 1 species